UACGUAGGGGGCAAGCGUUGUCCGGAUUUAUUGGGCGUAAAGAGCGUGUAGGCGGCCAGGUAGGUCAGCUGUGAAAACUCGAGGCUCAACCUCGAGACGCCGGUUGAAACCAUCUGGCUAGAGUCCGGAAGAGGAGAGUGGAAUUCCCGGUGUAGCGGUGAAAUGCGCAGAUAUCGGGAAGAACACCCGUGGCGAAGGCGGCUCUCUGGGACGGUACUGACGCUGAGACGCGAAAGCGUGGGGAGCAAACAGG
rnacentral:rRNA from 1 species